UACAGAGGGUGCGAGCGUUAAUCGGAAUUACUGGGCGUAAAGCGCACGUAGGUGGCGACGUAAGUCGGGUGUGAAAGCCCCGGGCUCAACCUGGGAAUUGCAUUCGAGACUGCAUUGCUGGAGUACGGAAGAGGAGGGCGGAAUUCCCGGUGUAGCGGUGAAAUGCGUAGAUAUUCGGAAGAACACCAGUGGCGAAGGCGGCUCACUGGUCCGGUACUGACGCUGAGGUGCGAAAGCGUGGGGAGCAAACAGG
rnacentral:rRNA from 1 species